GACGAACGCUGGCGGCGUGCUUAACACAUGCAAGUCGAACGGAAAGGCCUCUUUGGGGGUACUCGAGUGGCGAACGGGUGAGUAACACGUGAGUAACCUGCCCUUGACUGCGGGAUAACUACAUGAAACUGGGGCGAAUACCGGAUAGGAAUCCUUUCCGCAUGGUGGGGGUUGGAAAGCUUCGGGGGGUUGGGAUGGACUGGCGGCCUAUCAGCUUGUUGGUGGGGGGGUGGCUUACCCAGGCUUUGGCUGGUAGCCGGCCUGAGAGGGCGACCGGCCACCUUGGGACCUAGAUUCGGCCCCGGCCCCUACGGGGGGCCGCAGUGGGGAAUAUUGCCCCAUGGGCGGGAGCCUGAUGCAGCAAAGCCGCGUGCGGGAUGACGGCCUUCGGGUUGUAAACCGGUUUCAGCAGGGGCGAAGCUUGUGGUGACGGUACCUGCAGAAGAAGCACCGGCUAACUACGUG
rnacentral:rRNA from 1 species